AACGAACGCUGGCGGCAUGCCUAACACAUGCAAGUCGAACGAGACCUGCGGGUCUAGUGGCGCACGGGUGCGUAACGCGUGGGAACCUGCCCUUAGGUUCGGAAUAACUCCCCGAAAGGGGUGCUAAUACCGGAUAAUGUCUUCGGACCAAAGAUUUAUCGCCUUUGGAUGGGCCCGCGUUGGAUUAGCUAGUUGGUAGGGUAAAAGCCUACCAAGGCGACGAUCCAUAGCUGGUCUGAGAGGAUGAUCAGCCACACUGGGACUGAGACACGGCCCAGACUCCUACGGGAGGCAGCAGUGGGGAAUAUUGGACAAUGGGCGAAAGCCUGAUCCAGCAAUGCCGCGUGAGUGAUGAAGGCCUUAGGGUUGUAAAGCUCUUUUACCCGGGAUGAUAAUGACAGUACCGGGAGAAUAAGCACCGGCUAACUCCGUG
rnacentral:rRNA from 1 species